rnacentral:rRNA from 1 species
GAUGAACGCUGGCGGCGUGCCUAACACAUGCAAGUCGAACGGAAUUUACAUGAAGCCUAGCGAUUGUAAAUUUAGUGGCGGACGGGUGAGUAACGCGUGGGUAACCUGCCUUGUACUGGGGGACAACAGUUGGAAACGACUGCUAAUACCGCAUAAGCGCACAGCUUCGCAUGAAGCAGUGUGAAAAACUCCGGUGGUACAAGAUGGACCCGCGUCUGAUUAGCUGGUUGGUGAGGUAACGGCCCACCAAGGCGACGAUCAGUAGCCGGCCUGAGAGGGUGAACGGCCACAUUGGGACUGAGACACGGCCCAAACUCCUACGGGAGGCAGCAGUGGGGAAUAUUGCACAAUGGGGGAAACCCUGAUGCAGCAACGCCGCGUGAGUGAAGAAGUAUUUCGGUAUGUAAAGCUCUAUCAGCAGGAAAGAA